rnacentral:rRNA from 1 species
UGGGGAAUCUUGCGCAAUGGGCGAAAGCCUGACGCAGCCAUGCCGCGUGGAUGAUGAAGGUCUUAGGAUUGUAAAAUCCUUUCACCGGUGAAGAUAAUGACUGUAGCCGGAGAAGAAGCCCCGGCUAACUUCGUGCCAGCAGCCGCGGUAAUACGAAGGGGGCUAGCGUUGCUCGGAAUUACUGGGCGUAAAGGGCGCGUAGGCGGACAUUUAAGUCAGGGGUGAAAUCCCAGAGCUCAACUCUGGAACUGCCUUUGAUACUGGAUGUCUUGAGUGUGAGAGAGGUAUGUGGAACUCCGAGUGUAGAGGUGAAAUUCGUAGAUAUUCGGAAGAACACCAGUGGCGAAGGCGACAUACUGGCUCAUUACUGACGCUGAGGCGCGAAAGCGUGGGGAGCAAACAGGAUUAGAUACCCUGGUAGUCCACGCCGUAAACGAUGAUUGCUAGUUGUCGGGCUGCAUGCAGUUCGGUGACGCAGCUAACGCAUUAAGCAAUCCGCCUGGGGAGUACGGUCGCAAGAUUAAAACUUAAAGGAAUUGACGGGGUCAUAGCUG